AAAAAACAAAAACGGACAGAUAGAACCCUAGGACAAAUGGUGGAAGCAAAGCUAUACAGACAAAAUCUCACACAGAAGCAUACACAUACACACUCACAAAAAGAGGAAAAGGGGAAAAAAUCCUAAACCUUGCUCUCAAUGUCCACCUCCUCAAUUUGGGAUGAUUCGUUGUCUAUUCAGGUAUUCCACAGAUGCAGGUUACAUCAAGUUGAUUGUGGAGCUUUAAUCCGCUGCACCUGAGGCUGCUGGGAGGUGUUUCCCUUUCUCUUCUUUGUUCUCACAGCUCCCAGGGGCUCAGCUUUGGAUUUGGCCCCGCCUCUGCGUGUAGGUCUCCGGAGGGCAUCUGUUCUUCGCUCAGACAGGACAGGGUUAAAGGAGCCGGUGAUUCGGGAGCUCUGGCUCACUCAGGCCAGGGGGGAGGGAGGGGCACGUAGUGUGGGGCGUGUCUGCGGCGGAAGAGGGCGGCGUGACGUUGCAGCAGCCUGAGGCGCGCUGUGCGUUCUCCCGGAGAAAUUGUCCCUGAAUGCCGGGACCCUGGCAGUGGCGGGCUGCACAGGCUCCCCGGAAGGGGUGUGUGGAUAGUGACCUGUGCUCGCACACAGGCUUCUUGGUGGCGGCAGCAGCAGCCUUAGCGUCUCAUGCACGUCUCUGGGGUCCGCGCUUUUAGCCGCGGCUUGCGCCCGUCUCUGGAGCUCCUUUAAGCAGCGCUCUUAACCCCGUCUCCUCGCGCACCAGGAAACAAAGAGAAGCCUUGGGGUGAGAGUUCCCCAGAUGUGUUCUUAUGAUCUUGAAGUCUAUCCAUAGCAAGCAUGUGACACUUGCCUGGAUCAUCAAGUUUCAGAGUACCUGUAAAAGUAGACCAGGGUAUCUCUUCUUCUGGCUAUGCUCUGUGGAUGGACCCAAGCUGGAGGGUACAGUUACCUGAGACAUCUUCUCCUGGCAGAGGUCAGAAGCGCCUAGGGCUUGAAGACUUAAAAUAGUGAAGCAUUACCCAGAGGCUCAGGAAGAUGAGCCCAGAAGUUUGGAGAUGCUUUUCCCUCGCAGAUUCCAAAAGAAAUGUCACAGAGAUUCCUAAGGACUUGAUUACUGGAGAGAAAUCCAGGUUUGUGUGACCUUAAUCAUAUGCAAUUUGGGGGAUAUGAUUUUUUAAGGAAAACAAUACAAAAUUGGGUCUUAGAAUGAAUGUAUAGGUAUUGGAGAGAAGGCAUCACAAAAAAUUACCAAUAUUAAAAAGCUGACAAUAUAAAUGUCAAAAAAUCCAGAAAAUUAAUAUAAUUUAAUUAUUAAUUAAAAUACCUUACACGCUUCAAGGUUAUGUUUGUGGAUACAUGCUCUUUGAUUACCUCUUCAUAGACAUCAAUUUUGUAAAAUCAUUUUCUAUAGAGAGAAUAGGAAGGUAAUUUAGUUUUUCCUCUAGCAUGGCUGAUGGAAAUUUAUUUAUUAUUGAUAGUUUAGCUUUACAACUCAUGUCAUAUAAAUUUUAAGAUUGUUGUCAAAUUUGGAGAAUCUUCUAACAAGUUUCUUUCAUAGAUGAGAUAUAAAAUUUUAAAGCUUAUAUAAGCUGUAGUAUUUGGGAGAAACAUCAAGUUUCGUUCUGCUGUGACUACUUUUAAGUACUGUGAGUUGACAGCACUCAUAACCAGUACUCAUUUGUUGAUGUCACUGAGUCUGUUGACUCAGUUGGGGUAUGGAAGAAUUCUUGGAAAUCAUUCCUUCACCUGGACAGCUAAAACACACUGAUGCACAAUGUGACUGCAACCACAUAAAUACAAUCACAUUAAAUCCAAACUUAAAUAUAUCAACAGCUUAAUUUUUCCUCAGGCAGAUGUCAAAAAUGUCCAUGGUCACUCUAAUGCCACCCAUAUAAGAGGAAUUAUGAUUGAGUUAAGAAUCAUUAACAGAGACUGUGGUAUUGACUGUGAUCAAAUAUUUUGCUUUUGUAAUCCCACUCCUGGGCAUAUAUCCAGAGAAAACCAUAAUUCGAAAAGAUACAUGCAUCCCAAGGUUCAUUGCAGCACUAUUUACAAUAGCCAAGACAUGGAAGCAACCUAAAUGUCCAUCGUCAGAGGAUUGCAUAAAGAAGCUGUGGUACAUAUAUACAAUGGAAUAAUACUCAGCCAUGAGAAAAGAAUGAAAUAAUGCCAUGUACAGUAACAUGGAUGGACCUAGAGAUUAUCAUACUAAGUGAAGUAAGUCAGACAGAGAAAGACAAAUAUAUGAUAUCACUUAUAUGUGGAAUCUAAAAAGUGAUACAAAUAAACGUAUUUACAAAACAGAAACAGACUCAUAGACUUCAAAAACAAACUUAUGGUUACCAGAGGGGAGAGGUUGGGGGAGGGAUAAAUGAGGAGUUUGGGAUUAACAUAUACACACUAUUACAUACAAAAUAGAUAAUCAGUAAGGACUUACUGUAUAGCACAGGGAACUCUACUCAGUAAUCUCUAAUAACCUAUAUAGGAAAAGAAUCUGAAAACGAAUGGAUAUAUGUAUCUGUGUAACUGAAUCACUUUGCUGUACACCUGAAACUAACACAGCAUUGUAA